CCAGUUGAUCCUGCUGGAGGCUACUGCUAUCUGGUUUGCACUAAGGCAUGCAAGUUUUUUUCUUUGUUCUUCGGAAUUAAGGAAAGGCGAACUGCUCAGUAACACGUAGCUAACCUGCCCUAACGCUCGGAAUAAUGUCGGGAAACUGACUCUAACACCGAACAGAAGAUAAUUUCUGGAAUGAGCUAUCUUUUAAGUUAGGAUGGGGCUGCGGCUGAUUAGCUUGUUGGCGGGGUAAUAGCCCACCAAGGCUUAGAUCAGUAAGGGCUCUUAGCGGAGAAGCCCUGAGAGGGAGUCUGAGACACUACUCCCAGCCCCACGGGGUGCAGCAGCUAGGGAACUUCUGCAAUGUACGAAAGUAUGACAGAGCAAGCCAGAGUGCUACUCUAUAUUUGAGCAGCUUUUGUGAGAUGUAAAAAUUCUCACGAAUAAGGACUGGGCAAGACUGGUGCCAGCCGCCGCGGUAAUCCCAGCGGUCCAAGUAGUAGCCACUUUUAUUGGGUCUAAAACAUCCGUAGCUUGCUUCGUAAGUCUCUUGUGAAAUCUGGCCUCUUAAGGGUCAGGCGGGCAAGAGAUACUGCGUUGCUAGGGACCGGUAGACGUAAGGAGUACGGUUAGGGUAACUCAUGUUCAAAUAAACAAUGCCCUAAACAAAUUUGGCCAUAUGCUGAAAAAUCCGAGAAUCUCAAAUUACUCGUCGAGAAAUCGGCAGUGAAAAUAUUUGAGUGCGGACAAUCAGCAGGAAAGACAGGAAUUCAAAAGAUUUAUAUAUACAAUUAUUUGGGAAGUUGAAUGGGAAUAAAUGAAUUAUUAGAACUUUGGUUUGAUGGUUUUGGAAGGAUACUUGAUUUAGGAGGAAAUAGCGUGGAAGCUAAAUCUUUAGGAAAACCUAGAUUAGUUUUCUGGUAUGAACCAAGAACAUCAAAAAGAAGUUCAAAAGAAGUUUUGUAUGACAAAGAAAAACAAAAUUUUAAAAGAGCUUAUGAUAGGAGUCAUUCUAUACCUGAAGGAACCGAUUCUUUCAUUAAAGGAGAGAUAAGCACUUUUGAAGAUAAAGAGCAGAUUCUUUAUAUACUUCCUGUUCAAUUAUAUCAAACAAUUAAAAUUCCUGAAUCCUCAGAGACUAUACGCCAAACACAAACUAACCAAAAACUAUAAAUAACUCAACUUCCAACAAAUUCUAUGGAAACAAUAACAAUUAAUAGAAGAGCUUUUGCCGACAUAGCAAGAUUGGUAGAAGAAUUGGAAGACAGAAUAGAAUCUUUAGAAUUAAUGAGCGAUUCAGAAUUCAUGGAAUCUCUAAAGAAAUCAGAAGAGCAAAUAAAAAACAGAGAAUUUGCAAACUGGAAUGAGUUAUAAAAUUCUUCCAACUAAGGAAUUUGAAAGAGAAUUCAAUAAACUGGAUAAACAUUUUCAAAGCCAGAUAAAAGAUAAGUUUGAAGAAAUUGCUCAAAAUCCUGAAAGAUAUAAACAUCUUCAUUUUAGUUUGAAUAAAUUCUGUAGAAUCAGAAUCGGAAAAUUGAGAAUUAUUUUUAGAUACGAUGCUCAGAAACAAGAAUUAUAUUUAGAAGAAAUAGUUUUUGGACAUAAGUAUUAGUUGGUGAUGAUAUAGUCCGAUCUUCAUAGCGAUAUGAAGAAGUUGGUAGAAAUAUCAACUCGCCAUUAGAAAAGUUUAAAUAAUCUGGACAACUAAAAAUAUAAAGGUCCAGAUGGAUCGAGCCGGUCCUAAAAAUUCUUUUAGAAUUUUGGGAACUUCAACUCUUACGAGAUUGAAGUGAAUCAAACCCGGAUUACCAGCGUGACAAGCUAUUGUCUUAUCAUUAGACGACUGGUCCAUCUACCUGUUUUUAUUUUCUAAAUUAUAUAAAUUUUCCCUAAAGGGUAAGUAACUUUCUUAUGAAAGUGAAGUAACACAAAUGAGCGGUAAAAUGCGUUGAUCCUUACUGGACUAACGACAGCGAAGGCACCUUACGAGAACGGAUCCGACAGUGAGGGAUGAAGGCUAGGGGCGCAAAACGGAUUAGAUACCCGUGUAGUCCUAGCAGUAAACACUGCACACUAAACAUUGGUGCCUCCUCGAGAGGUAUCGGUGCUGUAGCGAAGGCGUAGAGUGUGCUACC
rnacentral:rRNA from 1 species